GAUGAAGAACGCAGCGAAAUGCGAUACGUAAUGUGAAUUGCAGAAUUCAGUGAAUCAUCGAAUCUUUGAACGCACAUUGCGCCCGCCAGUAUUCUGGCGGGCAUGCCUGUCCGAGCGUCAUUUCAACCCUCGAACCCCUCCGGGGGGUCGGCGUUGGGGAUCGGCCCUUUACCGGCCGGCCCCGAAAUACAGUGGCGGUCUCGCCGCAGCCUCUCCUGCGCAGUAGUUUGCACACUCGCACCGGGAGCGCGGCGCAGUCCAAUGCCGUAAAACACCCAACUUUCUGAAAUGUUGACCUCGGAUCAGGUAGGAAUACCCGCUGAACUUAAGCAUAUCAAUAAGCGGAGGA
rnacentral:misc_RNA from 1 species